rnacentral:rRNA from 1 species
CCUACGGGGGGCAGCAGUGAGGAAUAUUGGUCAAUGGACGAGAGUCUGAACCAGCCAAGUAGCGUGAAGGAUGACUGCCCUAUGGGUUGUAAACUGCUUUUAUAUGGGAAUAAAACAGGGUAUGCAUACCCUCCUGUAUGUACCAUAUGAAUAAGGAUCGGCUAACUCCGUGCCAGCAGCCGCGGUAAUACGGAGGAUCCGAGCGUUAUCCGGAUUUAUUGGGGUUAAAGGGUGCGUAGGUGGAUUGAUAAGUUAGUGGUGAAAGUUUGGGGCUUAACCGUGGAAUUGCAGUUGAAACUGGCAAUCUAGAGAGUAGUAGAGGUAGGCGGAAUGUAUGGUGUAGCGGUGAAAUGCUUAGAGAUCACAAAGAACACCGAUUGCGAAGGCAGCUCACUGGUCUAUAUCUGACGCUGAUGCACGAAAGUGUGGGUAGCAAACAGGAUUAGAUACCCCGGUAGUC